CAAUAGCGUGUAUUAAAGUUGUUGCAGUUAAAAAGCUCGUAGUUGGAUUUGUGGCGUACGGUGUGUUCCGGGCACUUGUUGUCUGAGUAACCUGCUGUUGCCAUCCUUGGGUGGAACCUGUGUGGCAUUAGGUUGUCGUGCAGGGGAUGCCCAUCAUUUACUGUGAAAAAAUUAGAGUGUUCAAAGCAGGCUUAUGCCGUUGAAUAUAUUAGCAUGGAAUAAUGAGAUAGGACUUUUUUGCUAUUUUGUUGGUUUGCGCAAGAAGGUAAUGAUUAAUAGGGACAGUUGGGGGUAUUCGUAUUCCAUUGUCAGAGGUGAAAUUCUUGGAUUUUUGGAAGACGAACUACUGCGAAAGCAUUUACCAAGGAUGUUUUCAUUAA
rnacentral:rRNA from 1 species